UUCGCAAUGCCCGAAAGGGUGACGAAGCGACGCCGCGUGCGGGAAGAAGGCCUUCGGGUUGUAAACCGCUGUCGGGAGUUAAGAAAUGCAAGGAUAUUAAUAGUGUCUUUGCUUGACUAAGGCUCCGGAGGAAGCCACGGCUAACUCUGUGCCAGCAGCCGCGGUAAUACAGAGGCGGCAAGCGUUGUUCGGAAUUAUUGGGCGUAAAGAGCACGUAGGCGGCUAUGUAAGUCGGUUGUGAAAGCCUUCCGCUCAACGGGAGAACAGCAUCCGAUACUGCAUGGCUUGAGUGCGGGAGGGGAGAGUGGAACUUCUGGUGGAGCGGUGAAAUGCGUAGAUAUCAGAAGGAACGCCGGCGGCGAAAGCGACUCUCUGGCCCGAAACUGACGCUGAGUGUGCGAAAGCUAGGGGAGCAAACGGGAUUAGAUACCCCGGUAGUCCUAGCCGUAAACGAUGGGCACUAAGUAGAGGGGUUUU
rnacentral:rRNA from 1 species